rnacentral:rRNA from 1 species
AACGAACGCUGGCGGCAUGCCUAACACAUGCAAGUCGAACGAAACCUUCGGGUCUAGUGGCGCACGUGUGCGUAACGCGGGGGAACCUGCCCGUAGGUUCGGAAUAACUCCCCGUAGGGGGUGCUCAUACCGGAUAAUGUCUUCGGACCAAAGAUGUCUCGCUUUUGGAUGGGCCCGCGUUAGAUUCGCUGGUUGGUAGUGUAAAAGCCUGCCAACGCGACGAUGCAUAGCUGGUCUGAGAGGAUGACACACCACACUUGGAAUGAGACACGGCCUAGACUGGUACGGGAGGGAGGAGUGGGGAAUAUUGGGCGAUGGGGGCAGGUGUGAUCAAGCAGUGCCGGGGGAGAGGUGAAGGGGGUAGGGUUGUAAAGCUGUCUUAGACGGGGUGAUAAUGACAGUAACGGGAGAAUAAGCACCGGCUAACUACGUG